CGCGUAGAUAACCUGUCUUCAUGUCUGGAAUAAUACGCCGAAAGGGGUACUAAUACCGGAUAUUCUUGCUUUAUAUAAGUUUUGCAAGCAAAGGUGGCCUCUGACAUAAGCUACUGCAUAAAGAGGGGUCUGCGUACCAUUAGCUUGUAGGUGGGGUAAUGGCCUACCUAGGCGACGAUGGUUAGCGGGUCUGAGAGGAUGAUCCGCCACACUGGCACUGGAACACGGGCCAGACUCCUACGGGAGGCAGCAGUGAGGAAUAUUGCGCAAUGGGGGCAACCCUGACGCAGCGACGCCGCGUGAGCGAGGAAGGCCUUCGGGUCGUAAAGCUCUGUCAAAGGGAAAGAAAUGUAUAAUGGUUAAUACCUGUUAUAUUUGACGGUACCCUUAAAGGAAGCACCGGCUAACUCCGUGCCAGCAGCCGCGGUAAUACGGAGGGUGCAAGCGUUGUUCGGAAUUACUGGGCGUAAAGGGCGCGUAGGCGGUUUGAUAAGUCAGAUGUGAAAGCCCACGGCUUAACUGUGGAAGUGCAUUUGAUACUGUCAGACUUGAGUACCAGAGGGGAAAGUGGAAUUCCCGGUGUAGAGGUGAAAUUCGUAGAUAUCGGGAGGAAUACCGGUGGCGAAGGCGACUUUCUGGCUGGAUACUGACGCUGAGGCGCGAAAGCGUGGGAGCAAACAGGAUUAGAUACCCUGGUAGUCCACGCUGUAAACGAUGUCAACUAGAUGUAGGGGGUGUUGAUCCCUUCUGUGUCGCAGCUAACGCAUUAAGUUGACCGCCUGGGGAGUACGGUCGCAAGAUUAAAACUCAAAGGAAUUGACGGGGGCCCGCACAAGCGGUGGAGUAUGUGGUUUAAUUCGAUGCAACGCGAAGAACCUUACCUGGUCUUGACAUCCCAGAGAUCCCUUGGAAACUUUG
rnacentral:rRNA from 1 species